AGGUACUUUGUGUUUGCGGGGCAUCUUACUUCUCUUCUUCUACUGGUCUGUUCUCGUUGCUUUGAAGAUGAGCAUGUGGGAAAACCUUCUGCUCUCGCUCUGUCCGCCCUCUUGCUCCUUUAUUAUCUAAUUAUUCCCUUUACACUCUGGAACAAUAACAACAACGCAUACAGCAGCAACAAUGUGAUUAUACACAGACAGACACCCACAUGGGGACAAUAUGCUGCAUACAAUAGCAAUGCAGAUAAUGGCAUUACACGUGCGUACAAAAGGCAGAGCAGAGACCGUGUCGGGCUGCGAGUUUAUCCGCCUGUUAUGAUAUACGCAGGCCCACACACGCACGCACGCGCACACACACACACACACACACACACACACACACACACACACUGUCUGGUCUCUUCGGUUCUGCUCUGUAUCUUGUCUUUCUCAAGGUCCCUGCUCCUGUGCCAAGGCCUCAAUAACACCCCCACCCCACCCCGACCCGGUCGCCCCUUUUGUUUGCCUGUCUGGAAUUCAGCUCCUGGCUGAGGGGGGCCUGGGCGAGGGACAAAACACACUUCACAGCGUUAGAUGGUGGCCCAAACACCGUCCUGCACGCACACACAUACACAACAUUGGAAGGCUGCCCACAAAACUCUCCCGUUCUCAGAGUACCACCAGGCUUUUGAUGGGGCCCUGCACUGUCUGGCAGAUUAUCCAACAACACACGGCAGGGAAGAGUGCAUUAAAAACACACUCGGUCCUGAAUGUUGCUAUUACGGCCGUGGAGUUUUAAGAUACGAACAGCAGAUCUUUUAGUAAAUUAUUCCCCAAAAUUUCAGUGGACAAAUCUGUUUUCCAUUUCUGACAUCAUGCACGGUCUGCAACUCUUAUGGUGCGUUCAGGUGUGAGUAGGACAGUCAGGAUUUCCAUCUCAGCUUAUAAACACCUUUGCAAAUAGAUUUAUAUACUCUUCUGUAAGACAAAACACCCAAAGGCACAUGGUAAACAAGAAUAAACUGUUUACAGAGGGUGCAGCUUUGCAAUUUGGAGAUUUGCUCAGCAGAGAUUUGCACUCUACUAAAAGCUCUUUAGUUGGUGUGUGCAACAACAGAAGACAAUUUGGGGUUUUUUCCACUUCACUUUACUAUAAAAAUGUUACUACAAGGGCCUUGAUUUUGAUGUAACCUCUGUGAUGAAGACUCUUUAUGAUUUGCAUCAAUCGUGUGAUCAAUUUGCUGUUGUAUGUUGUUGUGCAUCAACAAGCUAACUAACCGACCGAGGCAGCGGUAGACCAGUAACUCCCACGAGGUAAAAUUACUGUAAAAUUAUUAUUUUUUUAAAUUUUUUUAAUGGAGUUUGGUUGCUUUGGUGAGAGCAAAGAUAACGACAUCAGUUCUCCGUCGGAAACAUAGACUGUAUAGCUCUCUGACAGCAAGGUAAAAUAUUCUAAAUACAGUGUAUACUUAAACUGAUAUUGAUUAUUUUAGGUGGCAAAAAUAUGUUUUGCUGCUGC